AUGAAAGCGUUGAAGAGGAUAAGUAGUCAACGGAAAAAAGCAUCUACAGAGAGCCGGGGGAGCUGAAAACCGGUGAUGCUGCCGCUUGAUGAACUCACCUCUGAGCGCCAGCUUGAACGCUUUGGCUAGUAGAGUUGGACGGGUGGAAUCAAAAGCGCUCCACUCGUUAUUAAAAAGAGCGUCUGAACAUUUCAGAUGCUCAUGAGGUGGUCAGUUGGCCAUGAAAAAGGGUGGUACCGCGGAAAGAAAGCCUUUUCGCCCCUUUG
rnacentral:ncRNA from 1 species